UGGGGCGUAAGCGCGCGCAGGCGGUCCUUUAAGUCUGAUGUGAAAUCCCACCCCUUAACCGGGGAGGGUCAUUGGAAACUGGGGGACUUGAGUCCUUUAGAGGAAAGCGGAAUUCCACGUGUAGCGGUGAAAUGCGUAGAGAUGUGGAGGAACACCAGUGGCGAAGGCUUCCUUCUGGUCUGUAACUGACGCUGAGGCGCGAAAGCGUGGGGAGCAAACAGGAUUAGAUACCCUGGUAGUCCACGCCGUAAACGAUGAGUGCUAAGUGUUAGAGGGUUUCCGCCCUUUAUUGCUGCAGCUAACGCAUUAAGCACUCCGCCUGGGGAGUACGGCCGCAAGGCUGAAACUCAAAGGAAUUGACGGGGGCCCGCACAAGCGGUGGAGCAUGUGGUUUAAUUUGUUUUUUCGCGAAAAACCUUACCAGGUCUUGACUUGGGGGGACACUCCUAAAGAUAGGAGUUUCCCCUUCGGGGGACAGAGUGACAGGUGGUGCAUGGUUGUCGUCAGCUCGUGUCGUGAGAUGUUGGGUUACGUCCCGCAACGAGCGCAACCCUUGAUCUUAGUUGCCGGCAUUCAGUUGGGCACUCUAGGGUGACUGCCGGUG
rnacentral:rRNA from 2 species